rfam:Drosophila ficusphila unplaced genomic scaffold scf7180000454161, whole genome shotgun sequence
UAUCGUGCACGGAUACCGCUAUAGAGAUUACAGGCUUUAUCUCUAUGCUCACUAAGUGCUCGGACAUUAACCUCUUAAUGUUCUUCGAUGAGCCUGCCCGGUUUAGUUUCGAAGCAGGAACAGAUACGGAACAUACACAA